rnacentral:rRNA from 1 species
GUUGAUAUGGCUCAGGAUGGACGCUAGCGACAGGCUUAACACAUGCAAGCGAGGGGCAGCAUAAAAGUAGCAAUACGUUGGUGGCGACCGGCGCGACGGGUGAGUAACGCGUAUGCAACCUACCUAUCAGAGGGGAAUAACCCGGCGAAAGUCGGACUAAUACCGCAUAAAACAGGGACACCGCAUGGUGAUAUUUGUUAAAGAAAUUCGCUGAUAGAUGGGCAUGCGUUCCAUUAGGUAGUUGGUGAGGUAACGGCUCACCAAGCCGACGAUGGAUAGGGGAACUGAGAGGUUGGUCCCCCACACUGGUACUGAGACACGGACCAGACUCCUACGGGAGGCAGCAGUGAGGAAUAUUGGUCAAUGGGCGAGAGCCUGAACCAGCCAAGUCGCGUGAAGGGAAAAGAAGGAUCUAUGGUUCGUAAACUUCUUUUGCGAGGGGAAUAAAGUGCAGGACGUGUCCUGUUUUGUAUGUACCCUGAGAAUAAGGAUCGGCUAACUCCGUGCCAGCAGCAGC